UACCAGCACCCCGAGUGGUCGGGACGUUUAUUGGGCCUAAAGCAUCCGGUAGCCGGUUCUACAAGUCUUCCGUUAAAUCCAGCUGCUUAACAGAUGGGCUGCGGAAGAUACUAUGGAGCUAGGAGGCGGGAGAGGCAAGCGGUACUCGAUGGGUAGGGGUAAAAUCCGUUGAUCCAUUGAAGACCACCAGUGGCGAAGGCGGCUUGCCAGAAUGCGCUCGACGGUGAGGGAUGAAAGCUGGGGAGCAACCGG
rnacentral:rRNA from 1 species